rnacentral:tRNA from 1 species
GCCCUCGUAGCUCAGUGGAUAGAGCGUCAGCUUGCGGAGCUGAAAGUCAGAGGUUCAAAUCCUCUCGAGGGCA